CCUACGUGGGCCGGAGCUCCUUAGAAGUGACCCCAAACCUGUUCCAUUGCACUUAGGACAAGCCAGGCCCUGGCCUCCCUUGCACUCUCCCAAUUACUCGGAAUCACCCGGGAAGAGGCCUGAAAAUAAGAUACGCUUAUAUGGCACACACAGACCUGGGCCCAGCUGACAGCAUAGGCCAGAGGCAGGUCCUGACCUCUGUGUGCUAGCUUCCGGGGGAUUCUGAGCACAGCCAGAUUGCAGAGCCACUGCCUUGGACAGUGGUGUGGACUCAGUAACCCCGGUUCCUGCAGACAGGCUCUUACUUCCAGCACAACGUACUGCUCCGGGGCUGGGGCUUCCCCCAUCUCUCCCAGCACGCGCUCACACUCCAGGGAGAUGGCAUCUAUUGAGGUCAGGAGGGGGGCCACGAUCUCUGGGAACUGGAGAAAAAAAGAAGGAACGGCUGGUGAGGCCUGGGGGCAGGCAGAUGCAGGACAGCUGCCCCAGCAGUGGGGUGGAGGGAGGAGGUGUUCACACAGCCCGUGCCCAUCCUCUGGGGAAACCACCUCUAUUCUGAGCCUGUUUUUUUGCCUUCCCAGCUGCAAAGUCAGUGUGUCUAACAAGCCCGACCACUUGUCACUUUCCUGGCCAGGCUACGGGCACGGACGGUACCUUCUUUUCUGCCAAAACCACCUCCCUAAGGGCCCCCACCACCCACCACACCCCCUAUAACCCAUCAGCCAGAGGGAGACCUCGAAAAUCCAGAUGUAAUUGUGUCCUGGCCUUCCUGAAACCUACCCAAGAAGGGAACAAGAGUCACCUUGAGCAGCCUGUUUCUGACACCAGCCACAAGGGCUCUGGUAUUGCGAGGGACUUUGGUGUUGGUCAGCAGGAUCUGGAGAGCUGGCGACCUGCAGGGUGAAGAGGAGGCAGGUCCACACUGAACUCAAGAUGGAGGAGCUGGGACAGGACUGGAAGCAGUCCGGGAAGCCGCCCCACCCUGAUACGGAGGAAGAAGGGAGGCACAAGAGGUGACACUGGAUUGGGGGAGCAUGGGGCUCCUGCUGCCGGCCACAGCUGCGCCUCCAUCCCAGGCACCGGUUGGGUGGCCAUUCUCCCUUGGCUUUUCACUCAUUUAUUCAUUCAACUUCAACUGGGACCUACAACAUGCUAGGCACAGCGUGGCCUUGGGGCCGGGGCCAGAGAGGGGAUAGGGGAGAAGGGCCGAGAAGGUUUUCCUGGCAUGACGUGGACACUGAGAACUGAGGAAGGGUAAGAAGCCACCAAGCAAAGCUAGAAGGGUGAGGAUUUCUGGCAGUUGGAGCAGCCUGUGUGAGCCUGGAGGUGGCGGAACCUGGCACAGUCAUCCAGUGAGAAAUUCAAAGUGGCUAUGGCAGAGUACAAGGAGGGGGCGAAGGUUCACUUGUGUGGGUCACCCCCACGAAGCUGGAGUUUUAGAAAGACCAAGCAACAGGCCCUGAAAUGGAUCACACAGAGGGAAGAUGCCCAGGCUAGCUGGUGCGGGCAGCGCCAUGCACGGGCUCGGUAAAUGCAGGGAGGGCAGGGUUGCAGAGGAGGAUGGUCCCCAGCACGCUGAGCCCAUUCUUGCCUUACCUCAAUGGUGCCCGGAUGAGCAGCCCUGGUCUAAAACCAGAUGUAGAGUCAGUCAUCCCCUUGGCUGCCCUCUGGCACAUAGACGUGUCCCAGGCAGCCACGUUGAGCUGACUCUCUAGCAUGACCCCGUGGUCCUCACCUGCCCCGGAGGAGCUGCGUAAAUCCCUCCUAAAGCCACAAUCCCAAUUGUCCUUGUAGUGAGCCGUCUUCGAGGGCUCAAGCUGACAUUUCUUGCCAUCCAACCUGCCUUUCAGAGGGCUGCAGGCCGGGAUGGAGGGUGGGGGAUUUGGAUGAGCUCUGGCCCGAGACAGCUGGAGACGGGCAGAGCCCUUGAUACCUUUAUUCGCUGUCUUCACAGUUCAAGAUUGUAAAAUCCAAUAGGGCUGGAAAGGGCUGCCAGAAGCCUGCUUUAUCUCACUGCCCAUAAGCCCAUGAAAUUAAUAUCGAUUCUCAGCCUUGGAGGCUGGCUUUUUUUUUUUUUAAACUUUACAAAAGAUGAACAUUCUAUUUGGCUUUUCUCUUCCCUUCUAAGACAAGCCAUUCCUCAAAAGGGCAGCGUUCUGGGAGGCCGCAUCUUGAUCCACUUCACAAACAAUGCAUUUUUUCUUUACAGAGAGGCACCACGCAUGGUUGGUGGGGGGAAGCUCCUUAAGCCAUCCAUGGGAUUAACGUGGAGUCUGGCCCCCAGCUUCUCCGUGAAGCCGCCAUCUGCUCCCGUGGCACCCCACAGCAGGCAGCAAAGGUUGGUUUGCUCCAUGCUCCCAUCUAGCCAGGCGGGAGGAGUUUGGGUGUUGCAUCUUCAUCUUUCUUAGACAAGUCCUCUGCAGACAGGCCUGUCACCAGCCCCACCAGAUCCAGGGCUCAUACCCAUCCAGUGGCCACCAUGCAGGGGGUAAGCCUGGUAAGUGCUCCUGUGAUCCGGGCUUGGCCACUGCCCCAGCCUCUUCUUCCCUCCUCGCUCCCCAGGCUGCUCACUCCACUCAGCCACUCUGACCUCCCAGCUACUGUGUCACACGGCAGGCAGCGUGCUCUUGUCUCAGGACCUUUGCACCGCGCUUCCUCUGCCAGGGACCAGCCCCGCCCCAUAGCGGCGUAACUCAUUCAGGUUUCUGCUCAAUGUUCCUUCAUCAGCAGCCCCCGACCCCCCAUCCAAUCGGACCCCUCCUUCUCUUUGUAGCCUCUGACCCUGCCUUGUUUCCUAAAGGUGCUUAAGACUGCCUGAUAUGCUCUCACAGACAACUGAUUUUUUUCUCCUCUCCCAACAAAGUAUGAGUUCCAUGGAGGCGGGGCUUUGUUUUGUUCCCUGCGGAGGCCACAGUACUCAGCACGCAGUAGGUGCUUAAUGAUACUUGUGGAAAGGAUGAAUGAACUCGGCCAGCAAACAGGUAAGCACUUCAGAGCCACCGCUUCUGAUUGUAUGUUCAAGAUCCCCCUAAGUAAACGAGGAGCUGGAGGUCUGGGAGAAGUGACUCACCCGAGGGCACCAGCUGGCAAGUGGGAGAGCUGGACUCAAACCUAGGCCUGUGGACCCAGCGCCUCCGCCCAGCACACCAGCAAUGCCUGGCCAUUCCCCUGGCCGUUCCCCUGCCCGGCCCCCUUGGAAGGCCUCCUCAUUCAUCUCCUGAUGCCCCCAGUAGACCGUACACUCAGUGCCCAGCCCACGUCUUCAUAAGUUUUCUAGCUCCAGGGCCUAGUCCAGUGCUUAGGCCACAAGUGGCUCUCAGGAGACAUUGAAGGAAUGAAACGCCACCACUUCCAUGAAUGAUUCCCCAGGCUCGCAGCCAGAUCUAAGACGCCUGUCACUGUCACCCACAGCAGCUUCACAACCCUUCAGGUGUCUUCUCUCUGACGAUUACAGUGACCGCCUUCCCCAUCAGACCGUGGGCUCCUAAAGACAGGCCGGGGCCCGGGCAUUUGAGACUCCUCCACAUGAUCCAGCUCUGGUUCCACAUGGAUCCGGGGCAGUGGCAGACCAGCUUCACCUCGGCACCCGAGGCUCUCCUGACGACUGCUGGAGCAACCCGAGGAAGCUGUUCCACGCUCCUACUGGCUUCUGCGGAGUGCAAAGGUCGGCGGCAAGGGUGAUUCUGCCUCCCAGGGGACACUGAGCAAUGUCUGGAGAUGUUUUUGAUUGCCACGCCGAAGGUGCUACUGGCAUCUAGUGGGUAGGGGCUGGGGAUGGCUACAAUGCACAGGGCGGCCCCACCACAAAGAAUAACCCAGCCCCAAAUCUCAAUAGUGCCAACGCUGACAACCCUGACGUACGGCCUUGGAAAGGGAGGCGUGGCUGAGCUGGGACAGAAAGAUCCCAGAGAACUAGCUGGGGGCCCAGGUGUGGCGCUGUGGCAGGCCAGGUUACUGAGCCACUAAUGGAGUGGCCCAGCUGGCGGGGGCUGCAGGCCAGGACCUGCCACUCAUCCAUGAAGACCGCCCUGAGUAAAGAAGAGAGAGCCCCAGGACCCUUACUGAUGCGAAAAGGCCCAUGGUGGCAAAGUGCCCUGGGACAAACACCACCCCACAACUUGAUCAAGGGCUUAGGGAACAGUCAAAAAGGCACCUGGCUCCCCUCUGCCAUGUGUUUCAUUCCAGGCACCCGACAAUUCCGCCGUGGGUGCAAACAGAACAGAGGAUGCUGAAAUCGCAAACAGAACAGAGAAUGCUGAAAUCGCACAUGCACGUUUGUGAUUCCAAUGAUUCCAGCGGGAGGGACACAGAAACAUAAAACAGGCUGAGAGUCUCCAAAUGUCACUUCUGCUCCAAGCCCCUCCCAAACCUCCCUCCGGCUUCCAUCCUGCCUCUGCCCUGUGUGCCUCCAUCAUGGUGAAUCUCACAUUGUCCUGUGGCGGCUUUUGUGUGUGUCUGGCCCCACCCCCACAAGCACACUGAGAGUCCUUGGAAACUGUACCCAAGCUUCAUCUCUCCAUUCCUACGCCCCAGUGCAGCAUCAUCGGGAACACAGGAAGUAAUGGAUUCUUGUUUACUAAGCAAAUACAGGAAUGAAUGAAUGAGCAGCUGAGAGUCUACGGGCACAGCCAUGCAUGACUUUCCCUUUCUGAUAUCUCUGCAAUUUAAGAGCUGAAGGGGAGAAGGAAAGACCAGGUCUUCCCCACCACCCCUGCUUCCUUGCAGCUAGUGGACUGUGAGGGCCACAUUGGGGGAUGAAGAGCCAGGGACACCUGCCUCCUAUGGUACUUCCCAAAGGUGCAGAGCUCUGCCCCCUGCACACAUCGAUGCAGCCAUGGCUGAAUGUGCUGCUCCACCCCCAGGUUACCUCUUUAAGGAUGAAAUCUUCCCUUGAUGGUAUCGGAGGGCUCCUC
rnacentral:lncRNA from 1 species